AAACGGGUGGUAAUGCCGGAUGCUCCAGUUGAUCGCAUGGUCUUCUGGGAAAGCUUUCGCGGUAUGGGAUGGGGUCGCGUCCUAUCAGCUUGACGGCGGGGUAACGGCCCACCGUGGCUUCGACGGGUAGCCGGCCUGAGAGGGCGACCGGCCACAUUGGGACUGAGAUACGGCCCAGACUCCUACGGGAGGCAGCAGUGGGGAAUAUUGCACAAUGGGCGCAAGCCUGAUGCAGCGACGCCGCGUGAGGGAUGGAGGCCUUCGGGUUGUAAACCUCUUUUAUCGGGGAGCAAGCGAGAGUGAGUUUACCCGUUGAAUAAGCACCGGCUAACUACGUGCCAGCAGCCGCGGUAAUACGUAGGGUGCAAGCGUUAUCCGGAAUUAUUGGGCGUAAAGGGCUCGUAGGCGGUUCGUCGCGUCCGGUGUGAAAGUCCAUCGCUUAACGGUGGAUCCGCGCCGGGUACGGGCGGGCUUGAGUGCGGUAGGGGAGACUGGAAUUCCCGGUGUAACGGUGGAAUGUGUAGAUAUCGAAAAAGAACACCA
rnacentral:rRNA from 1 species